UCCAGACUCCUACGGGAGGCAGCAGUGGGGAAUAUUGGGCAAUGGGCGCAAGCCUGACCCAGCAACGCCGCGUGAAGGAAGAAGGCUUUCGGGUUGUAAACUUCUUUUGUCAGGGACGAAGCAAGUGACGGUACCUGACGAAUAAGCCACGGCUAACUACGUGCCAGCAGCCGCGGUAAUACGGGGGGUGCAAGCGUUGUCCGGAAUCAUUGGGCGUAAAGAGUUCGUAGGCGGCACGUAAAGUCUGGUGUUAAAGGCAGAGGCUCAACUUCUGUACGGCACUGGAUACUUGCGAGCUAGAAUGCGGUAGAGGGAAAGGGAAUUCCUGGUGUAGCGGUGAAAUGCUGAGAUAUAAGGAGGAACAUCGGUGGCGUAAGCGCUUUACUGGGCCGUAAUUGACGCUGAGGAACGAAAGCCAGGGUAGCAAAUGGGAUUAGAUACCCUGGUACA
rnacentral:rRNA from 1 species